rnacentral:piRNA from 1 species
UCCCAGACUUUUCCCCAUGUGUGAUGCA